AAGCUUCCACCUUUCCAGUUUCCUCAAACAGUUUCUCAUUCAAAUUCAAAUUCACUAUUUCCCCAAUCCAGAUCUGGAAAACAAAUUCCAUAACCCAGAGAGAGAGAGCCGAUGGAAACCCUGAUGGAAACGCCCUUGAUUCAACCGAUCUUCAUAUAUAAGUUUUUGACCGAUUAUGGUUUUUCGAUUCGUCGUCUGUAGAGAUGAAGAUCGUCUUCUUCAGGUGUUUACAACGAUCUCGGAGCUCCAGAUCUGAGCAUAAGUUUAUCACGGCCGGUGCUCGGCGGCGAGCAACAUCCGUACCCUAGGCGGUGCCGUACCGGUCGCCCGAUGUCCACCAAAGAUCUGUAUAUGGAGAAAAAGCAAUGACAGCUUUGGAAAGAACAAAUGAAGUAGCUGGAAAUUAUGGUCAAAGAUGCAAGAAACGCAGGGCUGGCAGAAAAAGUUUCUAAGCCAUCGCCUCUUGCGCGUAGGCCCAUUUUUCAGGCGAGCCGAGGCAGUUGCGCUUUAAGUUGAAGAAAUUGCGCUUUAAUUCUCUAGGUGAUGGUUCAGGUGCACAUUCCGGCGCGAUUCCUAGAUUCCGGAGAGUUUCUGGCCAAAUUCUCUAAAUUCCGACAAGAUUUUAGCCAGAUUUCUACUUUCAUCCAAGGAAAACUAUUUUUCUACACUAAUAUUUUAGAACUUUUAGUAUUACAUAGAUGAUAUAAGGUGUUACAUAAAAGAUUUUGUUUAUUUUGUUUAAAGAAUAGUUUUACUUUUCCUAAUACAUAAUAUAUUUUAAUUUUAUUUCAUUAUGCGCUUGAUUUUUCUCAGGCGCUCGCUUUUUUCGCGCUUUAGGCCUAUGCGCAUUGAGUGCGCCUAGCGCCUUUAAUAACUAUGGGUUUAACUACUAUAUCGCAAGACGCUAAAAGUACGAUAAAACACUUAUAUGGGCGGGUCGGGUGGGCUGAGUUAGAUU